GUGUUUCCGGUCAAUAACUUUUGUUUCGGUAAAGAUAUUUGAAUAAAACUUGGUAUGUAUGUAGCUUAUAUCAAGACAAAGGCUGGGAUUGAUUUUGGGGUUUCUGGGGUCAAGGUCAAGGUCACUGUUACUUUAAAUAGAAAAAGGGUUUCCAGUCAAUAACUUUUGUUUCGGUAAAGAUAUUUGAAUAAAACUUGGUAUGUAUGUAGCUUAUAUCAAGACAAAGGCUGGGAUUGAUUUUGGGGUUUCUGGGGUCAAGGUCAAGGUCACUGUUACUUUAAAUAGAAAAAGGGUUUCCGGUCAAUAACUUAACUUAGGAAUGAGCUAUCAUGAUGAAACUUGGUGUAUAGAAAACUUAUAUAAAGUUGUAGCUUGGGAUUGAUUUUGGGGUUUCUGGGAUCAAGGUCAAGGUCAUUGUUACUAAAAAUAGGGUUAGGGUUAGGGUUAGCAUAUCUUCUACAUGCAUGGAGGGAUUUUGAUGAAAGUUGGCACAAUUGUUCACCAUCAUGAGACGGAGUGUCAUGCGCAAGAACCAGG